rnacentral:rRNA from 1 species
UACGUAGGGGGCAAGCGUUGUUCGGAAUUACUGGGCGUAAAGGGCGCGUAGGCGGCCUUCUAAGUCAGACGUGAAAUCCCCCGGCUUAACCUGGGAACUGCGUCUGAUACUGGAAGGCUUGAGUGCGGGAGAGGGAUGUGGAAUUCCAGGUGUAGCGGUGAAAUGCGUAGAUAUCUGGAGGAAUACCGGUGGCGAAGGCGGCAUCCUGGACCGACAUUGACGCUGAGGAGCGAAAGCUAGGGGAGCAAACGGG